rnacentral:rRNA from 1 species
UCGGGAAUCUUGGGCAAUGGGCGCAAGCCUGACCCAGCGACGCCGCGUGAGGGAUGAAGGCCUUCGGGUCGUAAACCUCUGUCAGGAGGGAAGAACGGCCGCGAGGUGAACAAUCUCGUGGUCUGACGGUACCUCCGAAGGAAGCGCCGGCUAACUCCGUGCCAGCAGCCGCGGUAAUACGGAGGGCGCAAGCGUUGUUCGGAAUCACUGGGCGUAAAGCGCGUGUAGGCGGCUUGGCAAGUCGGGUGUGAAAUCCCGAGGCUCAACCUCGGAACUGCACUCGAAACUGCUUCGCUCGAGUCCCGGAGAGGGUGGCGGAAUUCCCGGUGUAGGGGUGAAAUCCGUAGAUAUCGGGAGGAACACCAGUGGCGAAGGCGGCCACCUGGACGGUGACUGACGCUGAGACGCGAAAGCGUGGGGAGCAAACAGGAUUAGAUACCCUGGUAGUCCACGCCGUAAACGGUGAGUGCUAGACGUCGCGGGUAUUGACCCCCGCGGUGUCGCAGCUAACGCG